rnacentral:piRNA from 1 species
UAAACAGCUAGACAGACAUUAGCAGGC